rnacentral:lncRNA from 1 species
AGAAUAACUUUUUUGUAAGAGCAGGGGAUCAGUUCUAUGAAGAACCAGAUGUUAAGGCAUGGGAAAGUGUAAAAAGAAUGUCAGUGAUGACAAAUAAGAUUGAAGUUCUCAAAGAAACGCCCAAAUGCCCUAACCUUCGAACCUUGUUUCUUAGCCAAAAUGAGUUGCAAGUGAUCAGCGAUGGUUUCUUCCAAUUGAUGCCUCAUCUGACUGUUUUGGAUUUGUCAAGAAACCUUAGAUUACGAGUGCUGCCUGAGGGAAUUUCACAAUUGGUUUGUCUACAAUGUCUUGACCUAUCAUAUACUGGUAUAUCAGAGUUGCCAGUAGGGUUGAAAUCGUUGAGAAAACUAAAAAUGUUGGACUUGAGUUACAUGCACAAUCUCAGAAAAAUCCCACAACAUUUGAUAUCUAGUUUUUCGCAGUUGCAAAUAUUCAGAAUGUGGUGGUCGGGAUGCGGAGAUUAUCCUAAUGAAGACAAUGUUUUGUACGGGAGCAAUGAAAAGCUUAUGGAGGAGUUGAACGGUUUGCAAUAUUUGGAUAUACUAACGAUACAUAAAAAAGCACGUGUUGUGUAGAAAGAUUCCUAAGCUUUAACUUGUUUCGAUGUUGGAUCCAAGCAUUACAACUUUGUAGUUGUUUAAUGUUUUGUGCUUAAUGAUUUUGGAGUUUACCUAUUUAAGUAAGUGAAUAUGAUGCUUGUAAUUAAAAUAAAUAAUUUAAGAAAAUAAUUGUGUAAUGAUGAUAGUAUGCAUAGAUUAAUAUUUGAUUUUAAUUAUUAUUAUUUAAAAUUUGGUUUUAGUUUUAUACUUAAAUAACAUUUUUUGUUAUUGAUAUUGUCACCUACAUAAUUUUCAUUAAUAAUAAAACCAUUUUUAGUAUUUUAGAUUUAUAAAUAAUAUAUCUUUGAAAUAAUAUUAUUUUCAAAUAUUUAAUAUUUUAUCAAAUUAAAUUUUGAUACUAUUUAUGAUUGUUAAAAUCUUAUUGUAUUUUAAAUAUUUAAAUUUGUAAAUUAUUGAUAUCAAUCAAAUAAUGUAUCAUAAUUUUAAUAUAUUAUUUUAUUUUAUUUUUAGAAUAAUAAAAAUUGGAGAUAAAUAACACAAUUUGUCACGUGUCGUUAUAAUAGGUAUGCAACAUGUCAAUAAAAUAAGCCUCCAUGUCACGUGAGACUUACUACCUUAUAUAUAUAAAAUUUGUUAUAAUUGUCCUUUUAAUGAUUUAGUUUUAAGAAAAUUAAAAUUAAAGGAGUAUUUGUUAUAAAGUAUGUUUUUCUAUUCAUUGAUGGGUACUAAUCCACCAUACCGAUUAUCAAAUCGUAGCUUGGGGUUUAUUGGUGUAACUUUAAAAAUAAUUUACCAAUCCAGUGGCUUAAAUAAUUUUUGUUCGAAUAGUUUAAUUACUUAAAUAAAAAAAUUUAAAUAAUUUAAUGACAAAAUUUAAUUUUUUAAUUGUAAUUUUUUAAAAUUGUUUUAAAGCAUACUUGAGAUGCUUUUGUAUAUUGUAUAAAAAAUGUUAUAAUAUUUUUAUAUAGUUUUUUGAUAAAUUAUUAUAUAAAAUGUGUAUGUACACGUCUGAACACAUGCAUUCCAGAAACCGACAGUCUUCAAGACAAUAAUAGUUUUCCAAAUUAAAAUAAUAAAUAAAUAAAUAAUAGGAUGGUGGUAAGUAGGGUUAUAAAAAAGAAUCUCAACAUUAGCUUUAAUUAGUCUCAUUUUCUGAAAAAUUAGCUAAAAUAUAUGGUGAUGGAUGAGUUGGAAUUUUAUUUUUCCAAUUGCUUUUUAAUGUUUUGUUUUAUUUUAGUCUUAAUUCCACUUCAAAUUAGUAUUAGAGUCUUCGUAAGUUUGUGUAAGACCCAAUAAUAAUUGUAUAUCAUAUAUUUUGCUUAUAAUACUUGUGUUUACAUGUAUAAUGAUUCAAAAUGAAUGUAAUUUGAUCGUAAUUGCUUCGACAACGAAUGUGACAUCUUAUAACUCAGACCCGACGAUUAGGUCGAAUUUGAGGUGUUAUUAUACAUAUAGAAGGGGAAAUGUGAUGAUAAACAAUCAAAGCCAUUUUUCUAUGGAUCUAAUAACAAUAAAGGAAUAAUGAUUGAAAAAGAAAAAACCUGGACGAGCCAAAGAGCAUCAAUAGUGGCAGAGACGCCCCGCAUGAUGACUGCUUGAACGUUGACGGGCUGUAGAUGUUACCCAAGCUUAAGGAACUUGAACAGGGCCCUUUCUCCAACCAUUCAUGAAAUCCUCGAAUCCUAUUUGCAAAUGAAACCCUAAACCAAAUUCCUCAUCUUCUAUUCCCAAUUUCUUCCUUUUCACUAUUACGUUAAUUCCCAAAUUCGAUUUGAAAAUGAAACUUAACCUAGAUUCCUUCAUCUUCCCUUCCCAAUUUCUUCCUCUUCAGUGCUAAUGUAAAUAUCCCAAAUUUUUAAGGUUAUACCUCAUUUAAAUUAAAGUAAAAGUUUGAAAACUAAAUGACAAUUUUUUUAAUGAAUAAUAAUGAUAUGGAUUUUACUUUAGUUACAUGGAAAAUCAAAAUUUAAAAGAAAAAUCUAGGUCAAAUUGUAAACUUUUGAUUUUAGGUGCUAAAAUAUAGUUGGUGACUAUCUUUGUAUUUUAAUAUUCUAUUAGGAACAACUAGUUAUUAAGAAAUUUUUUCCAUUUUUAAACUAGAAAGCCAGCUGUGAUCCAAUUUCAUAAGGAGAAAAGAUGGUAGCAGAGGAACCCAGACAAGUACCUAAGCUAGCGUAGAGUUGAAGCAAAUAACCAAAAAUUUCCCCAUUUCCAUGCACAAGACUUGACCGUUUCAAAUUCCAACUAUCUUUCACCAGAUUUCUGCUACUGCAUCUGCUCCAACUAAGCAGAACAGUCGAGACCAGUGCUAAUUUGGUGGAUCUAACCGGUAAGUCUACCUGUCUUCUUCGUAUCUUUGGCUAAAAAAGUUAGAUACUAUGAUUCCCUUCGACCUCAAUCUGUUUGAAACCCCAUCUUCUUUAACUUUAUUUUUCUUUUACUUUUCCACAUUACCUAACUUUAUUUUUACACAAUUCACUUUGCAUCCACAUCUCAUUUGUUUCCUUUGUUUCAUCUUUCAUUUACCAGAAUCAUGGGCAAUUGCUUCUCCGUACAAUGUGGUUUAGACAGUUUCCUUCUUCGUGGCUUGGAUUUCAUUGUUGGCCAUGCUAAUUUUGUCUGGAAGCUUAAACAAACUCUUCCAACUUUAUCUGCUGCUCUUGAAGAACUGAAGGCGCGAAGAGUUGACGUGAAACGGAGGGUUGAUCUUGCAGAACGAAUACUAUUGAAACCAUUGGAGGAAGUUCAGCUAUGGCUUUCAAAAGCAGAAACUAUGAUAACAGAGGCGGAGGAAUUGGUUUCAAAUGGUCCUCAACAAAUGAAUAACUUAUGUCUCGGCGGCUGUGCUUCUAAGAGUUGCCUGUCUAGCUACAAGUUUGGGAAAAAAGUGAACAAAAUGCUUCAAGAAAUAAGUGAUCUUAAGUGGGAAGGAGUUUUUGAGAAAGUAGCAGAGGAUCCGCCUCCAGCUCCAGUGGUAGUAAGACCUGAAGAGCAGGCGGUUGCUCUAGAAUCCACAAUCCAAAAGGUAUGGAGUUGCAUUGUAGAAACAAAUGUGGGGAUCAUUGGUCUCUAUGGCUUGGGGGGCGUUGGCAAGACAACACUCUUGACCAAACUCAACAAUAAGUUCAGCACCACACCAAAUGAUUUUGAAGUUGUUAUCUGGGCGGUGGUAUCUAAAGUUACGAUGUUGAAAAGAUUCAAGAUAGGAUUGGUGAAAAUGUUGGUUUUCCACAAUCCUGGAAGAAUAAAAGUGUUGACCAGAAAGCUAUAGAUAUCUGUGGGAUGUUGAGUAACAAGAGAUUUGUUGUAUUAUUGGAUGAUUUAUGGAAGAAGGUGGAUUUGAGCCUAGUUGGGAUACCAGAACCAAGCCAAACAAAGAGUUCCAAACUUAUUUUUACUACUCGAUCUUGGGACGUAUGUUGCUACAUGGAAGCUAAAACGAAAAUCAAAGUGGAGUGCCUGGAACCAGAGAAGGCUUGGGAAUUGUUCCAAGACAAGGUUGGAGAUGAAGCUCUCAACAGCCAUCCAGAUAUUCCAAACUUAGCUAAACAAGUAGCUGAAAGGUGUGGUGGGCUGCCUCUUGCACUAAUUACAAUCGGUCGUGCCAUGGCUUGCAAGACAACACUUGGGGAAUGGAAUUAUGCAAUUGAGAUGUUGAAGCGAUGUGCAUUGCCACAAAUGGAAGAUGAUGUGUUUUCACUUUUAAAAUUCAGUUAUGAUAAUUUGCCUAAUGCCACAAUGAGAAGUUGCUUCCUAUAUUGUUGUCUGCAUCCUGAAGAUUAUUGUAUUCCCAGAAAGAGAUUAGUAGAAUAUUGGUUCUGUGAAGGGCUAUUGAUUGAAUUUGAUAGAAUUAGUGAAGCUCAAAUGCAAAGUGACCACAUUAUCAACUCUCUUCUGAAUGCUUGUUUAUUGGAACAUGGUGGUGAAAUACAUGGAGAAGAAUGUGUAAAGAUGCAUGAUGUGAUCCGUGACAUGGCUUUAUGGAUUACACGCAGUUCUGAAGCAACAGAGAAUCACUUUUUUGUAAAAGCAGGGGCUCAGUUAUAUGAAGAACCAGAUGUUAAGGCAUGGGAAAGUGUACAAAGAAUGUCAGUGAUGACAAAUAAGAUUGAAGUUCUCAAAGAAACGCCCAAAUGCCCUAACCUUCGAACCUUGUUUCUUAGCCAAAAUGAGUUGCAAGUGAUCAGCGAUGGUUUCUUCCAAUUUAUGCCUCAUCUGACUGUUUUGGAUUUGUCAAGAAACCUUAGAUUACGGGUGCUGCCCGUGGGAAUUUCAGUA